UCUACAGCGGUAAAUUGGUCCGAAACGUGAGGAAAAUAUACUCCAGGACGCGAUGGCAUCAGGAGUAUCGAUGGGAUUUGGAAAAAGCGGCGUAUUUCUGUCGAGGGUUUUGGGCCACGAAAUCGUUCAAAAACCCUCUGCUGGUCCCGGGUGAUGUUUCCGGGUUGGAGGUUACCAGUCGGGAUCCUUCCGACAGAAAGAAGUCGCUGGUUCGCCUUUUCUCCGCGUUGCCAAGGGUGGCACCUUACGAAGGAUACCAGACCAUUGAGGACA